CUGGUGGUCUUUUGGCCACCCGAGUUGUAAUUUAGAGAAGCGUCUUCCGCGCCGGACCGUGCACAAGUCUCCUGGAAUGGAGCGUCAUAGAGGGUGAGAAUCCCGUCUUUGGCACGGACACCCCGGGGCUUUUGUGAUGCGCUCUCGAAGAGUCGAGUUGUUUGGGAAUGCAGCUCAAAAUGGGUGGUGAACUCCAUCUAAAGCUAAAUAUUGGCGAGAGACCGAUAGCGAACAAGUACCGUGAGGGAAAGAUGAAAAGCACUUUGGAAAGAGAGUGAAACAGUACGUGAAAUUGUUGAAAGGGAAACGCUUGAAGUCAGUCGCGUCGACCGAGACUCAGCCUUGCCUCGGCUUGGUGUACUUCUCGGCUGACGGGUCAGCAUCAAUUUUGUCUCUCGGAUAAUGGCAAGGGAAAGGUGACACCGUUGCCGGUGUGUUAUAGUCUCUUGUCACAUGCGAGGGUCAAGAUUGAGGAACUCAGCACGCGCCUCUCGGCGUCGGGGCUUCGGCCCACGUUACGUGCUUAGGAUGCUGGCGUAAUGGCUUUAAACGACCCGUCUUGAAACACGGACCAAGGAGUCUAACAUGCCCGCGAGUGUUCGGGUGGAAAACCCGUGCGCGUAAUGAAAGUAAAAGUUGAGACCUCUGUCGUGGAGGGCACCGACGCCCGGACCAGACCUUCUGUGACGGAUCUGCGGUAGAGCGUGCAUGUUGGGACCCGAAAGAUGGUGAACUAUGCCUGAAUAGGGUGAAGCCAGAGGAAACUCUGGUGGARGCUCGUAGCGAUUCUGACGUGCAAAUCGAUCGUCAAAUUUGGGUAUAGGGGCGAAAGACUAAUCGAACCAUCUAGUAGCUGGUUCCUGCC
rnacentral:rRNA from 1 species